rnacentral:lncRNA from 13 species
GCAAGAUGCGUAUUAAGAUAUUUUACCACCCCUGCGUUGCCUUCCAACCAAUCAAACGGAAGCUCACUUUCUGUUACAUUUAUCCACCUUCAAAUGAAGUGGACACCAAUGGUGUGGAAAGAGAAGAUAUCAAAUGUUUAUGAAACCUCUGCCUAUUUGCUUUCUCUGGUAUGACUGCAAAACCUACACUAACACCACAUCAGACAAGUAAACGGAAUAAAUUCUACUCACAGAUCGGCGACUACUAAGGCCAGUGAUCUCAUGGACAGCAGCCCCCUAAGGAACAUUGGAAGAGGCAAACAUGGCAAAAUCAAGAAACCACGUGGGGGACUUCUUGGAGGAGUUCAGAGAGCAGAUCAUUGCGCAGGUGAGAUUAUCUGGGCCCAUAGUAGACGCUGUGAUCUCACAACAUCUUAUCCCAGAAGAGCUGGCACACAGCGCCCGUGCAGCCCAGACCACACAAGACCAGAUGAGGGCUCUGUUUGAAGCCGUAGAGAGAGAGACACCACAAACCAAACUUGCAUUCCAUCUGAUAUUGAGACGGAAAGAGCCUGAACUCAUGGACAAGCUAGAGCAGAGACAACGAAACAGUAAGAUGACACAGACAGGAUUGGAUCAAAGGUAUGGAGAUACCACAACAUUAGAGGAUAAGACCACACCAAAACUUGGCAUACAGACAAAAAAGGAAUCUCUUAAGAGACGAAGACAAGAAACAAUGCAAGCAAUUGAGGAGAUUGAAAAACUUUGGGAGGGGUCAAGAAGGGAGAGAAAUGAAACUAACUACAUGAAAGCAAAGAUUAAGCAACAACAAGAGGAAAUAGAAAGGCUAAUGGCUGAGAAACAAGAGCAAAACACAAAGAUGGAGCUGAUGAGGAUGGAGAUCCAGAAUGUGAAUGAAAAACUGAAACAGAACAUGGAGGAAAUAAAUAUAGAGAAAGACGGAAUACGACAAAUGUGGGCUGAUGUCCAAACAGAGAAAGACAUUCUGGAGAGAAGAUACAAUGAGACCAUUAACGAGAGACAGAGUUUGGAAUUGAUCAAGUAUGAGACAUUGAGAGCAAAAGAGGAGAUGGAGCACUGCAAGGAAACAACCAAACAAGAGCAGGAGAAAAUGGAACAGAUUAAGGCUGACAUUCAGGGACAGAUAGAGGACAUGGAAAUAAGAAUUGCAGAAACCAAUCAAGUAAAAGAAAAAAUGGAAGCGAUGAAGGCCGAUGUACACAGGGAGCAAGGUCAGCUGGAGACAAAAAGAGAUGACAUUAAAAGACAAAAAGAACAGUUUGAGCAGAUUAAAUGUGAGAUAAACAAAGUAAAAGAAGAGAUGGAUCGAAGGUGGUAUGAAACGGAGAAAGAAGAGCUUGAGCAGAGAGUUAGGAUCCAGCAAGAGAAAGAGGAACUUGCCAACGUAAAAGCUGAGCUGCAGAGAGCUAAAGAGGAGGUGGAUCAAAACAGGGAGAAGACGAAGCAAGAGAAGGACCUGGUCAACAAAAUGAAAGCAGAGAUUCUUCUAGAAAAGGAUUCACUUGAGAAGGACAAACAAGAAACAUUACGAAAACAAAAGGAGUUGGAGCAGAUCAAGUAUGCGAUUCAAAUGGACAAAGAGGAGAUUGAGCAAAACAGAGAGGAAGCAAAGCGAGAGAAUGAUAAGAUGGAACAGAGGGAAGCUGAACUGCAGAGACAAGUGGAAAACAUUGAGAGAAACAUUGAGGAGACAAAGCAAGAAAAUUACAGAAUGGAAAACGUAAAAGCAGAGAUACAGAGAACGAAAGAAGCCCUGGAGAAACAAAAAGAUGACACCAGGCGAGUGAAGGAGGAAAUGGAGAAAAGAAGGUAUGAGACUGUCAAGGAGGAGCUGGAGCAGAGAGCUGAAAUACAGAGACAGAGAGAAGAAGUGGAAAUGCUCAAGUCUGAAAUGCAGAAAGCCAAGGACGUUGAAAAAACAAGAGGAAACCGAGAGAGAGAGGAAGCCAAAAAGUGGAGUGAAGAAGUAAAGCGACAGAGAGAUGGGAUCAAACAAUUGAGAGCUGAAGUUCAGAAGGAAAAAGACAACGUGGAGAGGAAAAAGCAAGAGACAAUGAGAGAGAGACAAGAAUUGGAGAGGAUUCAUUUUGAAACGCUGAGAAUGAAAGAGGAGAAUGAGCAAAGCAGGGAGAUCACAAGAAGAGAAAAGGAGCAAAUGGAGCAGAUGAAAGUUAAUAUACAGAGACAGAUAGAAGAUAUAGAAGAAAAAGUUACAGAGACAAAACAAGCAAAAGACAAAAUGGAAGAAAUGAAAGCAGAGAUACAGAGACAACGUGAAGAUUUGGAGAGUAGAAGGGAAAAGACAGAGAAAGAGAGAGAGCAUUAUGAAGAGGUUAAGUGUGAGAUAAUUCAAUUGAAAGAGGAAAUGGAAAGGAAAUGGUGUGAAACAGAGAAAGACGAGGUGGAACAGAGAGCAAGAGCGCAGCAAGAGACGGAAACACUUGAAAGGUUGAAGGAGGAAAAACAGAAAGUGCGAGAGGAAAUAGAAAGAAACAAGGUGGAAACGCAACGAGAAAGAGAGAACCUAGAAAAAAUGAAAGCCCGUGUGAAAGACGAGAAGAACAUUGCAGAGAAAAUAUCAGAAGAGGCCAAGAUAAAGAAUGAGGACUUAACGGAAAUGGAGCGUAACCUUCAGGAAGAAAGGGAAGAGAUCGAGAGGAGCAAGCAAGUCACAAAGCAAGAGAAGGAAGAGAUCGUAGAGAUGAAGGCUGAACUCCAAAGACAAAUGACAGAAAUAGAGAACCGUGUGAAGGAGACAAACAGAGCAAAAUAUGAGGUGGAUCAGGCAAAGCUGGUCGUACAAAAAGUGGAGUCCCAGCUGAAAAAGCAAAGAGACGAGGCUGGAAGAACAAAAGAGGAAAUUGAGAAACAGAGAUAUGAAGCAGUGAAAGAAGAGCUUGAGCAACGAGCUGAAAUCCAACGAGAAAGAGAAAUGUUGGAGAAAGUAAGAGACGAGAUACGGAGAGCCGAAGAAGACUCCGAAGAAACACAGCUUCAGAGCGAAAGAGGGGACUUACAAAAGAAGAUGAAUGAAACACAGCAAGAGAGGGAGAUGCUUGAGCAAAUUAAAACAGAGGUUUUGUCAGAAAGGGCCAUGUUGAAAAGACAAAUCCAUGAAACCGCAAGAGAAAGAGAGGACUUGGAAUUGCUUCGGUGUGAGACCCUGAAGAAAAAGCUGGAGCUUGAGAAAAAGAAGGAUGAAGCUGUCAAGGAAGAGCUUGAACUGAGAGCUGAAAUACAGAGAGAUAGAGAAGAGAUAGAGAGAACCAAGAAGAAAAUAGAGAGGGAGUUAAAACAAGGCAGGGAUGCCACAAGUCUAGAGAGAGGCGAAGUGGAACGGAUGAAGGUUGAAGUACAGAACCAGCAUGAGGAAAUGACUAGAUCCAUUGAGAGGACAAGGCAAGCCAGAGACGUGAUGGAACAGAUGAAGGAUGAAAUUCAGAGAGAAAAACAACUUUUGGAGAGAAUAAGGGAAGAAACAAUAAGAGAGAAAGAACCCUAUGAAACGGUCAAGGAUGAGCUAAACAGAGUAAAAGAAGAGAUGGAAAAACUCUGGGACGAGGUACAGAGGGACGAGCAGGAAGAGAGAGCCAAACUGCAUCAAGAAAAUGUGGAGCUGAAUAAGAGAAUGGAGGAAAUUAAGACAGAGAUUAACCAGAUAGAAACAAUUAAAUUUGACCUAGAGAGACAGAGAGAUGAGAUUGAAGCAAGGAUGGAGAAGACAAAGAGAGAGAUGGACAAGCUGGAACAAACAAAGGCUGAAAUACAAAGACAGAAAGAGGACAUUGAAAACAAGAUGACAGAAACAAAGAGUGAGAAAGAGGAGAUGGAAAAGAUCAAAUCUGAGAUACAGAAGCAGAAAGAGGACAUUGAAAAAAAAAUGCAACAAGCAGAGACAGAAAUGGAUGAGCUGAAAAGUGUGAGGGAAGAUAUUCAGAGGCAGAGACAAGAGGUUGAGAACAUGAUGCAGAAGGCCAAGAGAGAGAUUGGAGAGAUGGAACUAGUGAAGACUGAGAUGCAAAGGAAGAAAAAGGACCUUGAACAGAUGAUGAGAAAGACUAAGAGAAAAAAGGAAGAAAUGGAAAAGAUGAAGGAUGAAAUAGAGAGAGCGGAAGAAGAGAUGGAACAAAGAAGGGAAGAGACCAAAAGGGAGAGAGAUGCAAUUGAACAGGCGAAGGCUGAAAUAGAAAGAGCAAAAGAGGAACUGGAGAUUCGUCUGGAAGAGGGCUUUAGAGAUAUUGAUGAGAAGGAACAGAUGAACGCUGAGAUACAGAGAUUAAUCCAAGAGGUAGAGCGAACCAGAGAAAUGGUACGACAAACAAAAGUGGCAAUGGAAAACAGGAUGGAAGAAAGCAAUAUGGAGAUGUGUGACAAAGACAGAGUGAAUGCUGUAAUCCAGAGGUUGAUUCUAGAGGUGGAACAAACCAGAGAGGUGUUAAGAAGGGUGAAAGAAGAAAUGGAACUGAGCAAGGGGGAGUUAAAAGGGGAAAAGGACAAAAUCAGACUGAUGAAGACGGAGACACAAAAAAGAAAAAAAGAGCUGGAGCAAAGGAUGGAGAAGAUCAUGCGAGAGAGGGAUGAGUUAGAACUGGUGAAGUCAAAGAUACAGAGACAACGGGAAGAGCUGAAACAGAAGAUGGAAGAUGGAAAGACUGAGAGUGAAAAGAUGGAACAGAUGAAAGAUGAAAUUGAGAAACAGAGAUGUGAACAACGAGCUGAAAUCCAAAGAGAAAGAGAAAUGUUGGAGAAAGUAAGAGACGAGAUACGGAGAGCCGAAGACGAUUCCGAAGAAAUACAGUUUCAGAGCGAAAAAGGGGACUUACAAAAGAAGAUGGAUGAAACAAAGCAAGAGAGGGAGAUGCUUGAGCAAAUUAAAACAGAGGUUUUGUCAGAAAGGGCCAUGUUGAAAAGACAAAUCCAUGAAACCACAAGAGAAAGAGAGGACUUGGAAUUGCUUCGGUGUGAAACCCUGAAGAAAAAGCUGGAGCUUGAGAAAAAGCAGGAGGAAGCUGUCAAGGAAGAGCUUGAACUGAGAGCUGAAAUACAGAGAGAUAGAGAAGAGAUAGAGAGAACCAAGAAGAAAAUAGAGAGGGAGUUAAAACAAGGCAGGGAUGCCACAAGUCUAGAGAGAGGCGAAGUGGAACGGAUGAAGGUUGAAGUACAGAACCAGCAUGAGGAAAUGACUAGAUCCAUUGAGAGGACAAGGCAAGCCAGAGACGUGAUGGAACAGAUGAAGGAUGAAAUUCAGAGAGAAAAACAACUUUUGGAGAGAAUAAGGGAAGAAACAAUAAGAGAGAAAGAACCCUAUGAAACGGUCAAGGAUGAGCUAAGCAGAGUAAAAGAAGAGAUGGAAAAACUCUGGGACGAGGUACAGAGGGACGAGCAGGAAGAGAGAGCCAAACUGCAUCGAGAUAAUGUGGAGCUGAAUAAGAGAAUGGAGGAAAUUAAGACAGAGAUUAACCAGAUAGAAACAAUUAAAUUUGACCUAGAGAGAAAGAGAGAUGAGAUUGAAGCAAGGAUGGAGAAGACAAUGAGAGAGAUGGACAAGCUGGAACAAACAAAGGCUGAAAUACAAAGACAGAAAGAGGACAUUGAAAACAAGAUGACAGAAACAAAGAGUGAGAAAGAGGAGAUGGAAAGGAUCAAAUCUGAGAUACAGAAGCAGAAAGAGGAAAUUGAAAACAAAAUGCAACAAGCAGAGACAGAAAUGGAUGAGCUGAAAAGUGUGAGGGAAGAUAUUCAGAGGCAGAGACAAGAGGUCGAGAACAUGAUGCAGAAGACCAAGAGAGAGAUUGGAGAGAUGGAACUAGUGAAGACUGAGAUGCAAAGGAAGAAAAAGGACCUUGAACAGAUGAUGAGAAAGACUAAGAGAAAAAGGGAAGAAAUGGAAAAGAUGAAGGAUGAAAUAGAGAGAGCGGAAGAAGAGAUGGAACAAAGAAGGGAAGAGACCAAAAGGGAGAGAGAUGCAAUUGAACAGGCGAAGGCUGAAAUAGAAAGAGCAAAAGAGGAACUGGAGAUUCGUCUGGAAGAGGGCUUUAGAGAUAUUGAUGAGAAGGAACAGAUGAACGCUGAGAUACAGAGAUUAAUCCAAGAGGUAGAGCGAACCAGAGAAAUGGUACGACAAACAAAAGUGGCAAUGGAAAACAGGAUGGAAGAAAGCAAUAUGGAGAUGGGUGACAAAGACAGAGUGAAUGCUGUAAUCCAGAGGUUGAUUCUAGAGGUGGAACAAACCAGAGAGGUGUUAAGAAGGGUGAAAGAAGAAAUGGAACUGAGCAAGGGGGAGUUAAAAGGGGAAAAGGACAAAAUCAGACUGAUGAAGACGGAGACACAAAAAAGAAAAAAAGAACUGCAGCAAAGGAUGGAGAAGAUCAUGCGAGAGAGGGAUGAGUUAGAACUGGUGAAGUCAAAGAUACAGAGACAACGGGAAGAGCUGAAACAGAAGAUGGAAGAUGGAAAGACUGAGAGUGAAAAGAUGGAACAGAUGAAAGAUGAAAUACAGAGAGCGGUUGCAGAGAUAGACCUGGCAAGGGAGGAGAUACAAAGGGAAAAAAGGAAGAUUAAAGAGGACAAUGCAAGGGAAGAGAAGGAUAUGAUGGAGUCUAUGAAAGCUGAGCUUGACAGACAGAAAGAGGGAAAAAACAGAAGGAAAAAAGAAAUGCCAAUGAUGAAGACCACGGUCCAGAGGCCACAGGAUGAAACAGAGAAAGCCUACCUUGGAGAUACGACAACUGAGAUACCAUUUGAGUCACAAGAGCUAAGAACCGCCAUUGAAAAAGAAAGAAGAGACUUGGAACGCAGAGAGAAAAUGAUUAUGAGAGAGAAGUAUGACCUGGAAAAGUCAAAAGCCGAGUUUGAGAAGGAAAAGGCGGGGAUGGAGAACAUGAUCACAAAACAACGAGAGGAGAGCAGACAAAUGAUUGAGGACAUAGAAAAGAAAAAAGAAAAUCUCGAGCAAAUGGAUGCAGAGAUGCAAAGGAAAAGACAGGUCAUCGUAAGGGAAAUGCAAUAUAAAACACAAAAGAUGCAGGAUUUAAAAAAAGCAAAAGAUAAAUUUAAACAAACGCAAGUUAAAUUUAGCAAAGAGAAAAUUGAAAUGGGAAACAUCAAAAAGGCUACCUUGGCGGAAAGAAAUAAACUAGCAGUAGAGCAAGCUUACAUAGAGAAACGUAAGGAGGAGAUGGAAGCCAUCCUGGAAACGACAAAGAAGGAGAAUGAAGAUCUGCUGAACUUAAAAGCUCAAAUAGAGGGAUGGAAAGAAGACAAAGACGAACGGGGUGAACGCCUGAACAGGGAGAGAAAGGAACUUGAAUAUCUGAAAAGUAAGAUUCAAAAAGAAAAAGAGGAUACGAUAAGAAACAGGAACAUUUCGGAAAAAGAGAAAAAGGACUUGGAGCUGAUGAGAUCUGAAAUGCAGAAAGAAAAGGGGAAGAUGGAACAAGAGAAGCUUAAGGUACAAGUUGAGAGACAAAAGCUUGAACAAAUGAAACUGGAGUUACAGAGAAAGUCCAACGACCUAGAUAUGAUCAUAGAAGACACAAAGAGGGAGAAAGUCAGUGCAUCACAAAUUCCUGUCCAAAUACAACAACAAAAUAACCAAAUUGAUUGUUUUGUGGAAGAGACAAAGAGGAGUAAAAUCGAAGAAGAAUUGAUGAGCGCUGAAAUAAAAAGACAGAAAGAGGAGAUAGACAGCAAACAAGACAUUCUAUCAAAUGAGAGAGAAGAUCUGAAUAAACUCAGAACAGAGGUAAACAAUCAGAGAGAAGAGAUUGAAAAUAUCACGCAAGAGCAAAUUAAAGAAACAUUUCUAAUUAAUCAGACAAAGACAGAGAUGGAAAAAGAGAGAUGUGAGAUGGACAGAAUAAAGAAAAUGAUAGAGCAGAAUAUGGAUGAGCUAGAGCAGAGAAAGUGUGAGAUGAGAAAAGUAGAAAACAUAAUUAUCGAACUGAGAAAAGAAGAAGAGAGUAUAACGAAUGAGAUGAACAGGAUGAGAAAGAACACAGAGCAGAAAAGUUUUGAAAUGCAGAGACGGUCUGAAGACAUGAAUCAGCUAAUGGAUGAGACAAGACGGGAGAGGGGGAAGGUUGAAGAACUGGCUAUCCAAACUCAAAAACAAAGAGAAGAAAUGGUGGGUUUUAUGGAAAAGAACAAACAAAAGCAGAACGAACUGGAACUCAUGACUGACAAGAUUGAAAGAGAGAAACAAGACAUCGAAGACAGUCGGGAUGUGCUAACAAAGGAGAGAGAGGAGCUGGAACAAAUGAGGAGUGAGAUACAGCAACAGAGAGAGGAGACAGAAUCUCACAUGGAAGACCAAAGGAAAGAGAAAGAACAUUUGGAACAAAUGAUGACGGACAUGAAAAAACAGUUGCUAGAGGUGGACAAUGACAAGGAAAUGAUACAAAGCUCAAUGGGUGAACUGAGAGUGAAAGAGGCAGAAAUGGUGAGAGAAAAAGACAACAUGGAUAACAAGAUGGCUAGGCUCAAAGAGGAAGAGGAUAGAAUGCGGGAAGAAAUAGGAAGGAAGAUGGACAUCUUAAAGCAGGAAAGUUGUGAAAUCAAAAGACUUAGAGAUGAAAUUGACAGUGAAAAGGACCAGCUGAAUGCAAAAUUGCUUGAGUUGGAAAAAAUGCGUGAAGAACUAGAUAGAGAGAAGAAGGAAGUGAAAGACAGGAAGGAUGAAACACUGAAAGAGAAAGAUCAGUUGGAAGAGAGGCGAGGUAAGAUAAGUAAGGAGAAAGAGGAAUUGGAUAUCAGUCUUGAACUGAUGAAAAGACAAAGGGAAGACUUGAUGAGCUUGAAGGCUGAAGCAGAAGUACAGACCGAGCCUAUGGAAACAGACUGGAAGGAAAAGCUCACGAGGGAAAGACAACAACUUGAAGAUGUAAAGGAGGAGAUACAGAAGGAAAAAGAAGCCUUUGAGAGAAAGAAGGGAUUGACCAUGAAAGAAAGAGAUGAGUUUGAUCUGAUGAAGUCUGAAACCCAGGGACAAUUGGAGGAAAUAGAACAAAACAAACAAGACAUUCGUGUGGAGAAGGAAAAUCUGGAUCAGAUCAAAGCUGAGUUAGAAAGACGGUCUGAAGACAUCAAUCAGCUCAUGGAUGAGACAAGACGGGAGAGGGGGAAGGUUGAAGAACUGGCUAUCCAAACUCAAAAACAAAGAGAAGAAAUGGUGGGUUUUAUGGAAAAGAACAAACAAAAGCAGAACGAACUGGAACUCAUGACUGACAAGAUUGAAAGAGAGAAACAAGACAUCGAAGACAGUCGGGAUGUGCUAACAAAGGAGAGAGAGGAGCUGGAACAAAUGAGGAGUGAGAUACAGCAACAGAGAGAGGAGACAGAAUCUCACAUGGAAGACCAAAGGAAAGAGAAAGAACAUUUGGAACAAAUGACGACGGACAUGAAAAAACAGUUGCUAGAGGUGGACAAUGACAAGGAAAUGAUACAAAGCUCAAUGGGUGAACUGAGAGUGAAAGAGGCAGAAAUGGUGAGAGAAAAAGACAACAUGGAUAACAAGAUGGCUAGGCUCAAAGAGGAAGAGGAUAGAAUGCGGGAAGAAAUAGGAAGGAAGAUGGACAUCUUAAAGCAGGAAAGUUGUGAAAUCAAAAGACUUAGAGAUGAAAUUGACAGUGAAAAGGACCAGCUGAAUGCAAAAUUGCUUGAGUUGGAAAAAAUGCAUGAAGAACUAGAUAGAGAGAAGAAGGAAGUGAAAGACAGGAAGGAUGAAACACUGAAAGAGAAAGAUCAGUUGGAAGAGAGGCGAGGUAAGAUAAGUAAGGAGAAAGAGGAAUUGGAUAUCAGUCUUGAUCUGAUGAAAAGACAAAGGGAAGACUUGAUGAGCUUGAAGGCUGAAGCAGAAGUACAGACCGAGCCUAUGGAAACAGACUGGAAGGAAAAGCUCACGAGGGAAAGACAACAACUUGAAGAUGUAAAGGAGGAGAUACAGAAGUACAGACCGAGCCUAUGGAAACAGACUGGAAGGAAAAGCUCACGAGGGAAAGACAACAACUUGAAGAUGUAAAGGAGGAGAUACAGAAGGAAAAAGAAGCCUUUGAGAGAAAGAAGGGAUUGACCGUGAAAGAAAGAGAUGAGUUUGAUCUGAUGAAGUCUGAAACCCAGGGACAAUUGGAGGAAAUAGAACCAAACAAACAAGACAUUCGUGUGGAGAAGGAAAAGCUGGAUCAGAUCAAAGCUGAGUUAGAAAGACGGUCUGAAGACAUCAAUCAGCUCAUGGAUGAGACAAGACGGGAGAGGGGGAAGGUUGAAGAACUGGCUAUCCAAACUCAAAAACAAAGAGAAGAAAUGGUGGGUUUUAUGGAAAAGAACAAACAAAAGCAGAACGAACUGGAACUCAUGACUGACAAGAUUGAAAGAGAGAAACAAGACAUCGAAGACAGUUGGGAUGUGCUAACAAAGGAGAGAGAGGAGCUGGAACAAAUGAGGAGUGAGAUACAGCAACAGAGAGAGGAGACAGAAUCUCACAUGGAAGACCAAAGGAAAGAGAAAGAACAUUUGGAACAAAUGACGACGGACAUGAAAAAACAGUUGCUAGAGGUGGACAAUGACAAGGAAAUGAUACAAAGCUCAAUGGGUGAACUGAGAGUGAAAGAGGCAGAAAUGGUGAGAGAAAAAGACAACAUGGAUAACAAGAUGGCUAGGCUCAAAGAGGAAGAGGAUAGAAUGCGGGAAGAAAUAGGAAGGAAGAUGGACAUCUUAAAGCAGGAAAGUUGUGAAAUCAAAAGAUUUAGAGAUGAAAUUGACAGUGAAAAGGACCAGCUGAAUGCAAAAUUGCUUGAGUUGGAAAAAAUGCAUGAAGAACUAGAUAGAGAGAAGAAGGAAGUGAAAGACAGGAAGGAUGAAACACUGAAAGAGAAAGAUCAGUUGGAAGAGAGGCGAGGUAAGAUAAGUAAGGAGAAAGAGGAAUUGGAUAUCAGUCUUGAACUGAUGAAAAGACAAAGGGAAGACUUGAUGAGCUUGAAGGCUGAAGCAGAAGUACAGACCGAGCCUAUGGAAACAGACUGGAAGGAAAAGCUCACGAGGGAAAGACAACAACUUGAAGAUGUAAAGGAGGAGAUACAGAAGGAAAAAGAAGCCUUUGAGAGAAAGAAGGGAUUGACCAUGAAAGAAAGAGAUGAGUUUGAUCUGAUGAAGUCUGAAACCCAGGGACAAUUGGAGGAAAUAGAACAAAACAAACAAGACAUUCGUGUGGAGAAGGAAA